rnacentral:rRNA from 1 species
GACGAACGCUGGCGGCGUGCUUAACACAUGCAAGUCGAGCGGUAAGGCCCUUUCGGGGGUACACGGAGCGGCGAACGGGUGAGUAACACGUGGGUGACCUGCCCUCAGCUCUGGGAUAAGCCUGGGAAACCCGGGUCUAAAUACUGGAUAUGACUCCAUGACGCAUGUUGUGGGGUGGAAAGCCUUGUGCGGCUGAGGAUGGGCCCGCGGCCUAUCAGCUUGUUGGUGGGGUGANGGCCUACCAAGGCGACGACGGGUAGCCGGCCUGAGAGGGCGACCGGCCACACUGGGACUGAGACACGGCCCAGACUCCUACGGGAGGCAGCAGUGGGGAAUCUUGCGCAAUGGGC